GAUGAACGCUGGCGGCGUGCUUAACACAUGCAAGUCGAACGAUGAACCGGGUGCUUGCACUCGGGGAUUAGUGGCGAACGGGUGAGUAACACGUGAGCAACCUGCCCCUGACUCUGGGAUAAGCGCUGGAAACGGCGUCUAAUACUGGAUAUGUCCCGUCACCGCAUGGUGUGCGGGUGGAAAGAUUUUUCGGUGGGGGAUGGGCUCGCGGCCUAUCAGGUUGUUGGUGAGGUAAUGGCUCACCAAGGCGGUCGACGGGUAGCCGGCCUGAGAGGGUGACCGGCCACACUGGGACUGAGACACGGCCCAGACUCCUACGGGAGGCAGCAGUGGGGAAUAUUGCACAAUGGGCGGAAGCCUGAUGCAGCAACGCCGCGUGAGGGAUGACGGCCUUCGGGUUGUAAACCUCUUUUAGCAGGGAAGAAGCGAGAGUGACGGUACCUGCAGAAAAAGCACCGGCUAACUACGUGCCAGCCGCCGCCGUAACAC
rnacentral:rRNA from 1 species